UGGGGUAUAGCCAAGUGGUAAGGCACAUGUUUUUGGUACGUGCAUCGUAGGUUCGAAUCCUACUACCCCAG
rnacentral:tRNA from 1 species